AUUGAACGCUGGCGGCAUGCCUUACACAUGCAAGUCGAACGGCAGCACGGGAGCAAUCCUGGUGGCGAGUGGCGAACGGGUGAGUAAUAUAUCGGAACGUGCCCAGUCGUGGGGGAUAACGCAGCGAAAGCUGUGCUAAUACCGCAUACGAUCUAUGGAUGAAAGCGGGGGAUCGCAAGACCUCGCGCGAUUGGAGUGGCCGAUAUCAGAUUAGGUAGUUGGUGGGGUAAAGGCUCACCAAGCCGACGAUCUGUAGCUGGUCUGAGAGGACGACCAGCCACACUGGAACUGGGACACGGUCCAGACUCCUACGGGAGGCAGCAGUGGGGAAUUUUGGACAAUGGGCGCAAGCCUGAUCCAGCAAUGCCGCGUGCAGGAUGAAGGCCUUCGGGUUGUAAACUGCUUUUGUACGGAGCGAAACGGUCUACUCUAAUACAGUGGGCUAAUGACGGUACCGUAAGAAUAAGCACCGGCUAACUACGUGCCAGCCGCCGCCGUAA
rnacentral:rRNA from 1 species